GAUAAGUAUCGGGUUUUAAACGGUUUUUCCGAAAUGCAUCACAUUUUUACCAUUUUAAAACCCAAUAAACAGAGGAAAGAUUUCUAGCUCAUCUUCUCGUCUACCUCUGGAGGUUACCUCUUAAGAUCUGCCCUCAUCAAGGAGGGGGAGCUCGAAGGUAGCACGGCGAUGGCUGGUUUCCGGAUCAGAUGGAUGAAGGUUUCUUUGACAAGCUUGUGGAUGAUGAGUUUCGGAUCGAUGGUUCUUCUGCAGCUGGGUUACAGGAGGGUAAUGAUUCCGAUGGGAUCAACUGGGCUCCCUGCUGACACUUCUCUAGUGAACCUUUCCUUGAGUGAAUCAGAGUAGCAUUCACAAGUUCAGGUGGACGAGGCCGGAAAAGCUGGCUCCUUUAGAGUCAGUAACUCGGUCGAAAUCAAACCAGAGAAAGUAAAUCAGGCUGCAGAAAGCAGUAGUUCCAAUGUGCUUGUUGAGUCCAACGAGUCUGCCAUACCAGUAGAGUUGGUUGCACUUGGUGCCGGUGCCAAUGCCCAUCUGAAUAAUUUGGAAGCAGAUUUUCCGUCUGUUAAGGGUUCUAUGCAGACCCGGGCGAGCAUGAAGGAGGUGCAGUGGAGUAGCUUUCAUACAGGUAUGGGCGAUAAUGAUUCUGGUGGUUUUAGUUCUCAUUCAGAUUUCUUUGCAGAAUGGGUGAAAAUACAUCUAGACAGGCUAUAGGGGAGCAUGGCACCAAAUUCUCAUCAAUGUUAUUGCAAUCUCAAUUGCAAAAUCAAGCUGGUUUUGUUCAAAGGAGAACACAACAAACUGAUGCAAUCAAUGUUGGCCUGCAGUCGUCUUCAUCUUCUGUCUUUCAUAGUUCUUUUGUUCUAGAUCCCCAAGAGGAGGUCAUUGAGAAGGGCCUAAAUGGUGAAACUGCUGAUUUGUUGUGAAGUACAACAAGGUGAAGCGAUGCACUAAGUUGGUGAUGCAAUGUGUAGCUAAGCGAUGCAUAGUGAAGCAUAACUUUCAUGGCAAAAAUAAUCUAACAUAUUAUAUCAACAAAAAUCAUGUCAGAAAUUAAAAACAAGAGCAAAAAAACCAUUUUUUUUUCUCGCGCCAAAAUCAGACAUGAAGGAUGGCACUGUUUUGCUAUUUGCGAGAAAGUUUAAUUAGUUGUUAUCAACAAUUAUACAUAAAAGUUUGUAAAAUAUUUAAUUCCUUAUAAGUACUGCGGGUGAAAAAAACAUUACUUUGGUUUAUUUAAACAACAUAAUCAUGAGAGCACCGGUUUGGUCAAAUGGUUAUAAGUUCAAUAAAUUCACUAAACUCUAUGAUUUUUAUCCAACAUUUAUUAACUUACACUAUUUCAUUCAACAUACAACCUUCAAUAAAUUAACACUUAUCGCUUUUAUCUAAUUCUACCAUGCGGCUGAGAAAAAAAUUAAACAAAAACAAUGUGAAAUAGAAAAAUGAAAAAAAAAUACAAGCAUUAAUUACAAAACAGAGGUAGAGGGAGAGAUAGACAUGAGCGAUUGGCAGGCACUCGAGGUGCACAUUUCGUGCGUUGAGUUGUGUGAUUCAAAUAACAGUGGUGGUUACAUUAUGGGUUCAGGUAAUAUAGCGGUGGUAAUUGCUGUUAUAGGUUUAUAGCGGUGAAAUUUCUACUGGUGCUAGAGAACACCGGUAUAAAUACUUAGUGGCGAGACAUUUCACCGGUAUAAGUAUAUACGACUGCGAACUACGUCAUUGUUAGAGAUCUAUACCAGUUGUAAUCGUCACCAGUAUUGGACUGUCCCAGUUGCGUUCACCACUUGUAUAGGUUAUUAUGAUUAAAGAAUAACACAAACAUAAUUUGUACCCCUCAAGAAAACAUUUAUAGGCUCUAGUAAAUAUUUCUAUGCCUUUCAACCAAAAAUAUGUCUUAGGCAAUGUGUUCCUUCUGCAUCCACGCGCUAAGGGGGAACAAAACUCAGCCAUGUGAUGCAAUGGUCAGCUGUUGACAGAUGACAGUACCAUGCUAAUUAGAGGUGAUGGUGGCGAAGGCUGUCUAUUUUCUGUGGAAAGGUUGCAAGAGUUGAAGGUAUGUAGAGAAGUUGCUCGAAAGAAUCAGAGUCUGAAGUCAAUUUGGUUGACUCGACAAGAGGUUUUCUUGUAUAUAUACAAUGAUGGCAGGAAGGUAUUCAUACUCCACCUGGUAUACUGCAUCAUUCAUUAUGUAUAAAGAAUCUCACCUUAUAAAAGAACCUCUGGAGGACGAUCUGAAAAGUUUUUGAAUAUCAAUUUAUUUUUAGUAAUGUUUCUCGUAACAAAAGGCUUAGAUGCCUAAGAUUGUCUUGUACAUAGUUCUAGUUAUUGUACUGCAAACACGAGGUUGCCAACAAACAAAUGAUUAGUGGUCCAACCUAGGAGUUGGGUUUUCUUUCUACUCUAUGUUUUUUCUUUUGACAUCCACGUCAUUGAAUACAACAAUGUUAUUUUAAUUCAAAACCAAGCUGAUACCAUUAGUAGUAUGAUGCUGUAAUAAUUGACAGUUUGUCAUUGAGAAGAACCCGAGAUGGUACAUCAGCAUAAGAUGAGAUUCUUUUGUAACGAACGAAUAAUGCAGCAUAUGGGGCGGAGUAUGAAUACCUUCCUACUGUCAUUGAAUCGAACUCAUCAAUCCAUGCACCAUUUUACACACACACACACACACAUAUAUGUUGCUAGACAAAUUAGUCCGGACAAAUAAUUAAUGAGACCGAUUAGGUUUGAUGCAUUUUUCUUCUCAAAAGUUACAAGUAACCAUUUAUAUUUGUACAAUUACCUACAGGCACAUGCCCCACUGUUUUUAAGUAUGAAAAAUACCAUUUUACCCUAAUAAAAAGAAAAUACCUGAAUAGAAAGAUUUUUAUGGGCCACAUCUUUUUGACAAUUUCUUCAAUAUUUUAAUCUAUUUUAUAAGUAUCAAUAUUAAUAAAAAAAGGCCCAGGGAGAGUGUAUGUACAAAAUGUGAUUUUUUUCAUUUUUUUCAUAGAAAUUGCUCAAGAUUUUAACUUUUUUCUUCAAUUAAUGAAGCCGGUGUUUGUCAAUCAUUUUAUUACAUCAAACAACUUUUCAAUCUUUUUAACACCCUUUGUCGUACAAAGAAAUUCAUCUAUUUGAAAACAUUACUGUAUUUGAAUUUUCUGAUUGCUGAAAAUUCUUGUCAAUCGAUAAUGUGAAUGAUGAUUAUAUAUGUGUAUUUCGAAUAAACUAGGAAUUGGAGCCGUUUAUUUUUCUUUGUUAUCCCAUUUGUCCAUGCCUUUUUGGUUUUGAAACCUUGAAAAAUUGACAGAUUCCCUUUAUUAGGGACAUAAGAUUCGUCACCAAAAAAAGGAUAAUGGUAACCUCACCUAACCUAUAGUAAUAAAAAUACAUGCCCUACUGAGACUUGUAACUUGCUAUGCUUUUUAGUAGGAUACCCUGACUCACCCUCCUCUAAAAGGCUGAUUCAUUCAGACCAACAUGAGUGUCCAACCACAUUGCAUUGCCAGGAUCCACCGGGAGUAAAUUUUUUUAAGGUCAUCAGUCUUGAAGUUCCUUAGUAGAGAUAGGAUAAAAAAAAAUCAGUCUUCCAUAACCUUUCAUUAGUCCUAGGUACUUCUGAAACUCAGCUCCUUAAUUGUGGGAGGGUCACUUUAAAAGGAUGUCAUAUUUUCUAUAACGAGUCAAUGUUUCCCUAUAAACAAGACUUAUUUCAUUGAAAAUUUGUAAUUUGUAAAGGAGCAGUUUCAUAGUUGAUUAUUUUUAUAUUAACUUGGAGAAGUAGCCUUAAAUGACAUUAUAUUUUCCAGUCUUCAUUAAAAUUGUGAAACUGACAGUUCUAAAGAAACUUCUUCAGUAUUUCCUAUGGACUUCUUGCUUCCACUUGCAUGUGCACUGAACCUUAUGUUUGCCUGUGUGACUGGUUUAGUUUCAGUUUGGGACUGCAUUCUAGGAUCAAGAGGUUGGAAGGCUGGGCCGGUGGAAACAUUCAGUUCUUACCUGCUAGUUAGCAGCUUUUCAUUUCACAUCCUUUAUUUUUUAUAUUUUAUUCCACAAGAUCUUUCCUUUCUGAUCUUUGUGCUGGUAAUAGUGUAGGCCCAAGGGUAGGAUGGGCCUUCAGGUCACUUGCUGAAAUUGAGUCAUUAGAAAACAAGUGCUGAAAAUUUCUGGGUUAUUCAACUGCUUUGAAUUUCUUGAGAACAGUACUUGCCAUGAAUUUAAAAAUGAAAUUCUCAAAUAAUGUCAUCUACCAACAAAUUGGAUUUUGAACUGGAUUUUGGCCAUCUCAAUUAAUGUCCAAAACAUGUACAUCUAUAUGUGAUUAAGGUACAUUGUUUGAUAGAGGUAACUUUAGACUGUUUGUGCGUUUGCAGAUGUCCUGAUGAGUAUAAGAAACAUGGUAAAUUUGACCUGGUUUAAUUCGACAUACAACCUUGGUUAAAUCUUACCAUGUUGUUGAGAAAAAAGUAAAUUAAAACAAAAACAUAGCUAACAUGAAAUAUGAAAAUAGAAACGAUGCAAGUGUCAAUCACAAAACAGAGAAGGGGGGGACACUUGAGUGAUAUGAGGCAGCUGAAGCGGGCGGUUGCGUGCUUGCUUCAAAUAAUAGUGGUAAUAUGUGCUUCUUUCUUUGGUACUGGUUACGGCACAAUUUACCGGUGGUAAAAACAACCGUUGAAGUUUUAUAGCGGUCAAGACAUAUAUGGGUGUUAACAUCUAACAAUCACCAGUAUACAUACGAUUUAACGGUGACAAAAAUCCAAUGUAGGGCAUAUAUACCAGCCACAAAAAUCACCAGAAUGGUGAAAUAUCCACACCUUUCUCCUAGCAAGUUCCAGUUCCAAUCAAUCAAAGAUAUGUCUCAUGGGAUCUAUUCCUUACAAGUCAAUGCACUAAGGGAAAAGAAAAUGCAGCCACAUUUUGAAAGACAUCGUUGGAAAGAUGAAAUCAGCCCUGAAAAAUAAAGUAUUUUGUUGCUUUCACUGUUACAAUUUCCCUCCAUCAAAAGGUGUAUCUAUACAUAAAAUCAUGGUGAUUGCCAACCAUAAAAAAGAAGCCAAUUUCACCUUUCAUGAUGUUCCCAGCUUUCAUACAAUGAAGAACAAAAUGAUAUUAUUCCUUUGGUGCUAUAUAAACUGGUUUUACGAUAAAAAGACGUUUACAAAGAGGUCAUAAAUAGUAAAACAAACCAGAUUGCAAUAAAGCAACUAUAAGGUUCGUUUUAUUAUUCAUUAAAAUAAAAUUGUGUCCACAAAAAGAGUUUCUAUCGUCAAAUUUACGUGUCAAAUGGAGAGGUGGGCAUGAGUAUGUUAACCAUCAUCCAUAUUAAGAUACUAUGCAUAAUGUCACAUAUGCAUAUUUCAUGAUGGUCACAACAGAAUAUAUUAUUGCAUUUCAGAACCCAGUUUUGAUAGACUAUCUAAGCAAGAAAUAGUGUCUCAACUACAGGCAUGUACAAAUACAAUUCAUGCUACCACACAGUCACUACAAUAUUUUUGUUUAUGCCCUAUGACCAAUACUUUAGGAUGAGAACCGUAGCGAAUAACCUCUACAUUUGGUCAGGACAAGAAUGAGUUUUCCAACUCAAGCCAUUUGCAUAUUUUGUGUGUACCACAGUUGCACGAUAACUUUUUCCACCUUUUUUCUCUCUCUUUCUCUUUCUCCCCUCAAACCCACCAGUUAAGUUGCAGAAGCGUAAUGUAAAUCUAGGAUUUCCCCAUUCUUUGAAACAACCAAAGAUUGAAUGCAUGACAAAAUAGAGAGGUCAGAAUGAUUGCGUUUUGCUCCUCUUCGUCUCGCUGCGGCGUCUUUCUUUUUACUAGCGCCUUCUAGUACUCCAGAAAGGUUAGUUGGAUAUGCAGUUGGAAAGUUCCUGUUUUCUAUAACCACGUAAAUUGGAGCCUUCAGAUUCUUGUUUGGACACAAUGUCUUAAUAAGGAGGAUUAUGUUGGUUGGAUUUCUCUCAUGCUACCCUCGUGUGUCUUGAUUGCUCUUCCAUAUCAACUUCCUUCUUGCCUUUUUGGGUCUUAGACCAAAUCGCCUCUAAUGCAUCGCCCCUCUCUCUGCCUCUAUAUUAUCUCUCUCUUUUUCUCCCUCCCGAUCGAUCGUGGUUUCCACCGGUGAGUACUCACUACAACAAAUGUUAGAAACUGGAACUAGGAUCGAGCCAUUAGGAUCGGUUUGUAGAUCCUUUCCUAAAUCUCAACGUAAAAAAGACGUGUUACUUGUGACAAUAAAGCCAAUCCCUCGCCCCCUUUCUGGUGAAAAUCCACCUUCCGCUCAUCCCUGUGGCCCUUGCCAUCGCAGCAUGGACUGAUGUCAAGCAUCCAUCACAAUCGACCGAUUGUCGCUGACAGAAGAUGCGAAGAAGAAGAAAGGUUCCUCAACUCUGUCAUUGCUUCCCAAAUUUUUCUUUUUCAUCAGAAAAUCCAUGAUUCACCUGCUUUGUUGCUCGUUUUCUGGCAUUUCUCCUUCCUCAGUUUGCUGGUUGCUCACCUCGCCAUCGUCAUGUUGUUGUUCAUCUCCUCUGCUUGCAGCAAUCGCCGAAUUGCUGGUUCGCUUGGAUCGAAUAGGAGUUUGGUUUUCAAAUAUUUGUCGAAAAUAAGAGAAAAUAUAUGGUUAAUAAAAAUUUCAAGAAAUAUUAAAAAUUAAUUAGAAUCUGGCCAAUCUCACUAUUAAAUUGGCCAUGAAAUGUAAUCUGCUUGCAGUCGGCUCAAUUGGAUGAGCACGAGAAUUGGGGGAUGCACAGGUGACCAACUCUUGGUAGAAGGCAAAGGAAGAGCUUGAGAAAUCUGGCCGCAUAUGAAGGGGGAUAUGGGCUUUUUCUUUGAAAUUUUUGUUUAAGGUGGCCGCAUGUUAGUUGUUUUCUUUUGUGGAUUAUUGUCUUUGUUAGGCGCAAGCCAGUGAGGGAGAUAGCGGAGGGCAGCAAUAUCUGUUGUGAGGUUAAUCUGAAGACUAAAGAGAGUUGCGGCCUACAGAUUGCAGCUGGUGACAAGUGUGAGGAGCGUACAAUGGGUUCAAGCAAGGAUCGGUCAACUGAGCAGAGCAUGGAAGGGACUGGGUUCGGUCAGGUCAGUGGUCAGUAGAGCAAGGCUGAAGAGCAAAGGUUGCUGGUUCGGGCAGAGAAAGACUAUGUCAGCUGUAAGAGACCAAGGAAGACUGGGCACAACAAAGAGUGCAUCCGGGUUAGGUUUAGUUGGCAAGAGCUCAGGCUAACCUGAGCGUGUCAUGGCUGGGUUCAAGCCAAGACCGAGUCAUUGUAUUUGUUUUGGUUUGGAUUUGAUUGAGUCAGGUCUUGUACUCGUAUGAGUCCGAGACAAUGGGUUAAACUCGAGAAAGUCCAGGGGCAUACAAGCUGGUGACUGUGCCAAAACUUGUAACUUUUUGAAAUUGAAUCAAUAAAAGAAACCUUUUCUC